AUCGGUUACUGCUUAGAGGAUGACAUCCAACUUCUGGUUUAUGAGUUUGUGCCCAAUGGCAACUUGGAAAAUCAUAUAUUUGGAAGUAAGUAAUUGAUAUCUUCCUCCAUUUUAGUUUCAAGCUUCUAAGUGAAGGUGCAAGUUUUCAUAUGACCUCAAACAAGUAUUUAUAGGAGCAGGGGAUUCUCACUUUCAACCUCUCUCUUGGGAUCUCUGUAUGAAAGUUGCCCUUGGUGCUGCAAAGGGUCUUGCAUUUCUUCAUUCCGAGGCAGAUGUAAUAUAUCGAGACUUUAAGACAUCUAAUAUCCUCCUUGAUAUGAACUAUAAUGCUAAACUAUCUGAUUUAGGGUUGGCCAAGGAUGGGCCAACUGGUUGUAAUACCCAUGUUUCAACAAGGGUCUUGGGUACUGAAGGUUAUGCAGCACCUGAAUAUAUCAGAACAGGUCAUCUUACUGCAAAAAGUGAUGUGUACAGCUUUGGGGUUGUGCUACUUGAAGUGCUAUCUGGCAGGCGAGCUAUAGAUAGAAACAAGCCAUCUGGAGAACAAAAUUUAGCCAGGUGGGCAAGGAGCACUAUCAACAAGCACAAAUUUUCCCAAGUUUUGAAUCCUGCCAUUUUAGGAAAGUACUCCAUAACAAGUGUGAUAAAAGUGGCUCAACUUGCAUCUCAAUGCGUGUCAGAGGAGCCAAAGUCUCGGCCAAAGAUGAAAGAUGUGGUAGAAAUUUUGGAAUUACUUCUAGAAUCCAAUGACAAUGAGGAAUGCAAAGGCUCUAAACAUUGUAAAUCAAGAAAUGGUUCUAAAAAUGGCAGGAGAAAACUCAGAUGAAGCUCAGCCUUCUAAGGAACCAUAUGCUUCUUUCCUAUACAUAUAUAAACAAUUUUUUUUUUCUUAUUUGACUUAGAUUGAGAUUUAAAUUUGAAAUCUCAUGGAGAAAAUGACUCCAUUAUCACUGAACUAAAAUUUAUUCAUAAUGAUAACAAAUUCUUAAUUUGAUUUUGUAGUAAACCAUGCUAUAAUGGAGUAGGGAAUGUAAU
rnacentral:misc_RNA from 1 species